rnacentral:lncRNA from 1 species
AGAAAUUAUAUACACCAUUCAACACAUAAUUUAGAUAUGGUUUUUAUUUAUUUAUUCAUUCAUUCAUUUUUAUAUUUUUUUAUUAAAGCAAAAUCUGCAGAAAGAGCCACACCUGAAUACCAUAAUGAUUUCUCCAGCACUAAAGGCCCAACAGGUGAGUGACUUCAGCUGAUGGGUUUCACUUCUUUAACCUUUUGUGCCUGUGAACGGUAAAUCUGUUUCUGUUUAUAGACCUUAGUCAAGGUAGAUAGCACAUUGUAUGCAGAUGAAAAUGAGGAUGUGAGGGACAGGCUUACAGUAUUAACAGUGGCAUGCACUUUACAAAGGUUCUAGAUCACAUCAUUUUCAAAAAGUUUUUGAUUACUGAAAGUUUUUUGGAAAUAUGUUUUGUCAGUUACAAUAGUACAACCCCAUUGAACACCCUGUACUUCUAUCCCAUCUUUCUCUUCUGCCCUGACUAAUGUCUGUUCUCUCUUUGUUUUUAACUCAUUUAGAAAAGCAACAAAUCACAUCAGAGAACUAUGAUGAUGUAAUCACUGUUGGACUGAGACAUGCUACAGAUGACUUACCAGAAAACUAUGAUGAUGUCGUCAUCAUACAACAGUUCUCCAAUGAUAAAGCAGAGGCUGUUCAGGAGGAGUAUGAUGAUGUGAAGAAUGUCAGAGAAUAUAUGAGCGACAUGUUUGGUACGUUAUUAACAACUUCAUUUAGUCUUUAUAAUCACUUUAUAUGAUUAAUUUCUGUAGUUAUAAAAGCUCAUUUAAAUUUACUGCUAGUUUUAGUGUUGUAGAGUUUUCAUUAUGCUUUUUAAUGUAUGUAUUGAUACAUGAAUCAUUCUCUUGUUUUCCAAUAACAGACUAUGAUGAUGUGGAGGAGGAUCCAGGAAAACAGGCAGAAGCUGUAUAACUCAAACCUCACCCACUGCCUCAGAAACUUUUAAAGCUUUUAAAGUUUUAGCAAUCUUACUAUAUACAUGUUUCAGUUGCAAUCUAACAGUGUUUUGUUACAUUCUGUAUUAAAAUAUACAAUUGCAGUUUUUGACAGAAAAAAAUGCUUUGCUUUCAUGACCUUUUCAAAAGGUGCUUGAAUUUUUCCAGACGCUUUUAGAAAUAUUUUCUAUUGUUUAGCCUUAGAAAUUUGAGAGAACAAAAACCUGUCAUUUUCUGACAUCAGUUACUUUGUAUAAACAUAAUUGUGUUGAGUUCAGAUUGUUCACCAUUCAGCUACCACCCAUCAUUAAUGGAUUACUUACAGUAUCUUCAACUUAAUAAUAUCAUAAUAUUAAAUAUCAAAAUAUCAUUCACUGAUGGUUCACUGUUAAUAUUUUGCUAAAGGACAUUAGAAUGUUACGGUGGCCGAGAGCUCAACGCGCUGCAACUUCAGAAAACACAUGCAAAUAUAAAAAGCACCAGCAAAUAAAGAAAACAUCUUCAUCAGUCUGAGAGCAUGUGCUGCAAAUACUCCCAACACAACCAAAUACAAAACACACUGCAAAUCCUCCCAACACAAACAAUUAAAGAAACACACAAGUAGCACAGACCACAACAAAAUUACCCCAACAAAAACGAAAAUUAUUAUUAUUAUUUUUUUGAUUACCAUUUGUUACCACAGUUGUACAAAUACCAUGGUUAAACUAUGGUAUGUAGUAAAUCCAUGGGUAAUUUAUGCAUGCUAACCAUGGUUUAACUAUUGUUGUUUUUAUUUACUUUUUAUAUAAUAAAUGUAUUAAUACAGUUUAAGGCUAUGGUUAAUUUUUAUAGGGGAAGUUGUAAAAGUGAGCCACAUAAUGUUAAAAUAAAUCUCACCUUUCAGAGCAAACAUUGAUCAGCAUGUCCCAGCCGUGUUCGUC